ACGGAAGGCAGCAGUGAGGAAUAUUGGUCAAUGGGCGGAAGCCUGAACCAGCCAAGUCGCGUGAGGGAAGAAGGUCCUAUGGAUUGUAAACCUCUUUAGCCGGGGAGCAAUAAGCGCCACGCGUGGCGUGAUGCGAGUACCCGGAGAAUAAGGAUCGGCUAACUCCGUGCCAGCAGCCGCGGUAAUACGGAGGAUCCGAGCGUUAUCCGGAUUUAUUGGGUUUAAAGGGUGCGCAGGCGGCUUUUUAAGUCAGUGGUUAAAUCGUGACGCUCAACGUCAUCACGCCAUUGAUACUGGAGAGCUUGAUUGCGGUCGAGGUUUGCGGAAUUCGUUGUGUAGCGGUGAAAUGCAUAGAUAUGACGAAGAACACCGAUUGCGUAGGCAGCAGACCAGGCCGUAAAUGACGCUCAUGCACGAAAGUGCGGGGAUCGAACAGGAUUAGAUACCCUGGUA
rnacentral:rRNA from 1 species